UGUCUGCUGCUGGUUCAGAGACAGUCUCCAACUGCCCAGCGUUCUCCUGGGGGCUGCUGGCCAAAGCUCUUACUUCUGUGCGGAGAAGGAACCGCAGGAGCGUACCGUGAUCCACGUGAAUCAUUGCUGGGGAGGGAAGUGCGCAAUCCCAGGCCACAUGGAGUGACAUGGAACAUUUCCCACUUGGCUCCACCUUACUGCAGGGCGUCUUUCCCCGACUUGGAGUUGCUAUGGAAACCCCUUGCGGGUUUUUAGCUCCACGGUGCAAGCAUUUUAUAUCCAGACGGGGGGCAUAGCUCAGGGGUGGAGCUUCUGCUUGGCCUGCAGCCGGUCCCAGGUUCAACCCCUGGCGUCACCUCCAGGUAGAGCGGGGAGACACUUCUACCUGGAGCUUUGGAGAGGCUGCUGCCAGUCUGAGACCAGGGGCAUCCAACUGAGGCCCUCCAGCUGUUGGCCUACCACUCCCAUCAGCCCCAGCCACAGUGGCCAGUAGCCGAGGACGAUGGGAGACGAUGGGAGCAGGCCCACAACAGCUGGAGGCCGACAGUUUGGCACUCGAGUUAGAUCAGGGGUUCCCAGCGGGAGGUACUUGAAGAAUUCCCAGCAGGCACUCGGAGCCCGUCUGCUGCAGCUGUGCUGUUUAUUCCCUAUCUGAGGAUUGCCGGCUUGAAGAUGACGUGCCCUCAGCGAUGUGGCUGCUGCAGAAAGGGUGAAGCCCCUCCUGCUCUGCUCCCGAUUGGCUGGCUACAUGCUGAAGCUCAGCAAUCCCCUCCCCUCAGCCUGACGGACAGGCUUUGGACAAGGAUCCCAGAGUACUCCCACUGAAGAGCCAGCAACUGCAGAACUGAAUGCUGGUUUCGCUUUGCCCUGACCACCCUGAAGCAAGAGUGGAGUCUCUGGAUCCUUCCAACUAGAUUUGUCAUCACCAAGCUCCCCUGGAUGGCUGUUAUUCUUCACAGCAGCUGGCCCAGAUGAAUCGAGGCCUCUGGGCUGGAUUGGGGAAGGUCUCCAGCUCCCAGGACUGCAACAGCAGCUGCAGCUCAGCUGUAGGCCUAAUGAGUAGCUGUGAUUGCUGGACUGGGACUCGGCGUGUUAACCAGAAAGGCAAAGAAGGGAGGAUGCUGUGACGGGGUCCUCACGCACUCACUGGGUGACGUUUGUCCUUUGGAAAGGAAAAAGCCACUACUGCAGCAGCAGCAGCAGCACAUGAUGUUCCCCAACUGCCAACUUCGCUGUGACAGCUCAUCGGAGGAAAGAGGCAAGGUGAUGUGUAGCAUCCUCAUCAAAAGCGGCAGCCGACUGGACCGUGGAGAAUGAGUCGCCUGUAAUUGCUGUGUGUGUGUGUGGGGGGGCAUGAUUCAGUGGGGAGAACUGAUAGGUUUUUGGGAGGCUGCUGAAAGCGGAAGGGCUGGGAGUGGGGGAAGUGGAAUCCAAAAGGGUCACACUGGGCAAUCUAGCCAGGGCCGUAUUCUGACAUGCCAGGGGAAACUAAUGACCUAACAAAACCACUGAUUUUGCCAUGAGCCUAUUUGCAUUAGGAAGACCUUGAAAUGCAAAUACAGUAUGAUUUCUUACGUAGCCUUUCUAAGCACACACAAGAGCAGUCACACAGUUCAGCCUGACUAAACGGAAGAAGCAAUACAGCCUGCACUAUGUCUGUUUGUAUAUCACAUAAAAUUUAAAAGGUUGCCUUUUUCCUUGA